rnacentral:lncRNA from 1 species
CAUUUGGUAGUGAGACUUACAGGUAGUGUCCAACCUUGUCCUUGACAAAUAUUCCACUUUUUAAUGCUGUCAGUGUCAUGACCUUGGCAAGUGUGUUACCUUGACCAGUGUGUUGAUUUUUCAGACUUGAGUGUCAUUUCCCUGUAUCCUACUUCCUUCCCACCUGUUGACUAUGUCUUUUAGGGAAAAACGGGGCAGGGGAGGGAGAGCCUGAGGAAGAGAGGAGGAUAAGACAACAGUGUUGGAAAAGCAAAUGUGCAAUUUGUGAAAGGACAUUCACAGAAUGUCUCAGUUUAACUACGUGGAGAAGAUGGCAAGCACCGCUCCCUGGGACCAGGUUGUUUGUCUUCUAGAGUUUUAUUGACUUAGAUGGAACAGUCUUUGAAGGCAGCUAGGAGGUGUAUGAGUCUGCCCAAUGUCCAGUCCCAGACCAUACCCUAUGUCAGACCAUACCCUAUGUUUGUAUUAACUCAUUCUAACCCCAGAAGCUUUCGUGAGUGGCUGCCACGGUCAGAAAAAAGGCAAAACAGGCAAUUUGCAAAAGGCAGCCCCUCCCCCACCAUAAUAGCUUUCCUGUUAAAUGCUACUUGUAAAAUGUAUUUGGCUCCAUGCAAAUUUGAAUAAUUGGAUUUGGAAAUUCAUAGAAAGAACAACUGAUGCCAAGCAGAGAUUGGAAAGAUUUUAUAUUGUCCAAGACCUGAGUCCUUUCUGUCUCCAGGAUCAUGGGCUCUGAGAAACAAACCAAGGUAUUUCAUGGUGCCUCAGCUUUAAGGAAAUUUUAAUCUAGAAUUUGAUAUAAAAACAGAUGUUGGCCUAGUUUCUGUCUCCAGGAUUAGUCACUGCCAAACACCCUUUCUCGGCUCAAGACCUAGAGAGGAUGGUUUGAACUCUUUGACGCUGCAUCAGAUUGGACAUCAGGCAAGACUUAUACACCAGGUAUUAAACCAUUUCCAAUAGAGGUGAAAGCAUCGCCCUCCUCCAAGUGUCACUGAUUGCAUCAGCCAAAAAGCAAAAGCAGGAGGGAGUUUAGAGCAGUUCCUUUUGCUUGUUUGAUCCCUCCAUUUGUUUACACUUUAUGUUGAGACAUUGAUUUAAAAUUUAGUGUCUAUAAUUUAUAGCUCUUAGGUAGGAUGAAGGAAAAUGUUUAACUUAUACAGAGAGCAGUAUUGUUUCAUUAAAUUAUUCCAUUUUGUAUGAAUUCUGUAGCUGGACUACAUGAAAGAUCUUAAGUUAUGG